AAAUAAAUAAGAUGGAAUAUAUACUAAAAAAGUACAAAAUAUAUUUAAAAAACAAAAGUUAAUAAAUUGUUGGUUCAUAUAAAAACAAACUUGGUAAAGAAAAUAAAAAUAGUAAAUUGAAAUAGUAAAAGAUAUGUUAAAAGAAACUGGUGAGUCGCAAAAAUGGGCAAAAUACAUAAAAAAAGAAUGGGAAAUACAAAAAUAAAAACUGAAAAAUAUGAAACAGUAAAAAAGAAAGAAAAGAAGUAAAUCUAAUCUACUUGUAAUUGGGUUUCCAGAGGAGAAGCAAAGAAAAUGAGACAGAGCAUUAUUUUGAGAAAUAAUAGUCAAGAGAGUUCUAUAUUUGAUUUUUUAAAAUCAACGGAUUCAAGAAUUCAGCAUAUUUCAAAACAAAUAAAAUCGUUGUAUUAGUUUGUUAUCACAGUGUUACAAAGAUCUUCCAAAGACUAGGUAAUUUAUAAAGGAGAGAGGUUUAAUUGACUCACAAUUCCACAAGGCUGGGGAGGCCUCAGGAAACUUACAAUAAUGGGGAAAGGGGAAGCAGGUAUGUCUUAACAGGUGCAGGAGAGAAAGAGAGCCUGUGAGAGCACAGGAAAAGCUACCAUUUCUAAAACCAUCAGUUCUGAGAAUUCACUCACUAUUAAGAGAACAGCAUAAGUGAAACUGCACCCAUAAUCCAAUCACUUCCCUCCCUCUAAACGUGGGGAUUACAAUUCCAGGUAAGAUUUGGGUGAUGAGACACAGAGCCAAACCAUAUCAAUCACAAUUACAAACAAAAUGAAUAUUAUAAUACUAACAAACAUCAAAGACAAUGAGAAAAUCUCUAAAAGCAGCUGGAGAAAACAGCAAGAAUCAUUAACUUUUAACGGAAACUAUGAAAGACACUAAAAAAAUAGAAUUAUAUCUUCACAAAUUAUUUUGAAUUAUCUCCAAAAAUUAAAGUAAGAAUACUUUCUAACAAAGCUGAGAAAAUUAUUAAACAGCAUUCUUCCUUUAUAAGAAAUAUUAAACAUGUUUGUCAAGUUAAAAAAGAAUGAUUUAAUAUAAGAAUGGAGAGGCAAAAAGAAAUACACCACUCUGGAAAGGACAAAAUAAUUGAGUAAAUAUCAAAAUACAUAAGCUGUUUACAUUUUAAACAACAGCAAGGCUGGGUGCAAUGGCUCACACCUUUAAUCCCAGCACUUUGGGAUGCCAAGGUGGGUGCAUUACUUAAUGUCAGGAGUUCAAGACCAGCAUGGCCAACAUGGUGAAACCCCAUCUCUAUUAAAAAUACAAAAAUUAAUUGGGUGAGGUGGUUCACGCCUGUAAUCCCAGCUACUCGGGAGGCAAGGCAGAAAAUUAGUUUGAACCCAGGAGGCAGAGGUUGCAGUGGGCCCAGAUCAUGCCACUGCUCUCCAUCCUGAGUGACAAAGCUAGAUCUAAGACUCCAUCUCAAAAAAACAAAUAAGCAAAACAAUAGCAAUAUCUUGUGGAGUUGAUAAUAUGUUUAGAAGUAAAAUGACAAAAAUAGCGACAUUGAGAAAUAAAAGGAAAUUGUUGUAUUUUUUAAUAUAAUAAGAGAAUACAUUUAAGAUACAUAAAUUAGAUACAGAUGCAUUUGGUAAUUUACAAGGUAUUUGCUAAAUAUAGUGAUACUAAAAAUUAUGACAAGUAUUAGUAAAGGAGAAAAUUGAAUAACCAAAACCUGAUUAAUGCAGAAAGUGAAAUAAAAAAUGGUAGGAAAGGAGAAAUACAACAAAACAACACCUAAAAACAAGAGCAUCAACGACAGAGGAAGAAAACAGAACAUGGAGAAAACAAGUAAUAAAAUAGCAGACCUAAACAAAAAUAUACAAAUAAUUGAAUUAAAUGUAAAUAGAUUCAGUACUACUUCAAGCAAAACAUAGUAGAUUAUGAGAUUGAAUUAUAAAUAAAUGCAACUACAUACUGCUUGAAGAAUGCAUGUUAAAUAAGGCAAUGCUCUAGGUUCAAAGCAAACAUAUACAAACCAAGUGACAUGGCUUUAUUACAAAAAAGACAAAGUGGUCCUUCAGAAAAAUAAAUGUGAUAAACUUUAAAGAUAACUAUUUCGUAAUUUUAAAAUGGUCAUUUCAACAAGAAGAUAUAAUCAAAUUUUGUAUGUACCUAAUAUACCUUUAUUUUAGGUAAAGAAAUAAAUGAUAUAAAUUUAUGGCUUUAAGUGCCUAUGUUAGAAAAAAGUGAAGCUUGAAUAUCAAUAAUGUCAGCUUAAAAGCCAGAAAUAAGAUGAGAAGUUUAAAUUUGAAGAAAAACAGAAAGCAGGAAAAAAUUUUAAAAUGAGAAAGCAUUGAGCUAGAAAACAGAUAUACUGUACAGAAUAUCAGUAAAGUAAAAUUUUGCAGCUGUAAAAUGAUAUGACAAAACCUCUCAAAACUGAUCUAGAAACGGGAAAACAAAUUAUCAAUAUCCUGAACAAAAUAGGAGAUAUCCAUAUAGAUUUUACAGUUAAUGAAAGAACAUUGAAGGAUAUUAUAAAUAAUCUUUUGCCAAUAAAUUUGAAAAUUCAGAUGAAAUUUACAAAUUAGUGGAAAGUUAAAAUUUACCAAAAUAGGUACAAGAAAAAAUAAUCUAAAAAUUACUUUAUAUGUAACAGAAAUUGACAUUUUUAUUAAACACUUUACUCAAAGAAAAUUCCAGGAUUGUGUAAGUACAACGACAGAACUCUAUUUCACAAGUCAGAAAAAUGCCUUUAUUUCAUGUUAGUCUUGAAUAAAUUUAGUGAGCACAGAAUAUUUAAUUGGCUAUUAUGUUACGUCAACAAAUGGAAGAUGUUUAACUCUUCCUCGGCUUCCGUUGUUGCUGUUGAAAAAUCAGCUUUCAGUGACUUGUUCCUGUGAAGUUAAUCUGUUUGCUUUUUUUCUCUCUAUUAAUGUUAAGAUUGUUCUCUUGUACUUGCUUUGACAGCACAUACAAUAAAAUUUGCAAUGUACAGGGAAGAUUAACUGACCCGCUGCACGAAGAUGACACACAAAUUUAUGAAGAUGGUUCUUUUUAUUUUCCUUAAAUUUUAGGGAUGGCUUCUCAGUGUGUUGCCCAGGCUGGUCUUGAACUCCUGGCCUCAAGCAAUGCUCCCACCUUAGCCUCCAAAAAUGUUGAGAUGACAGGUGUGAGCCACCACACUCAAUUGCUUAAUGUAUUUUAAUCAUAAAAUGAAAUCAGUAAUUUUCACAUCUUUGUUAUUUAAUAUGUGAAAGAAAGGGAUUUCUGCAGAUAAGAGUAAUUUUUCAAAACAAUAAUAAAUAUGAAUUAAAUUAUAUCAAUCAUACAGCUGAAAAUAAGUAAAAUUAAAUGUCAGAUUAUCUAAAAUCAUCAAUAUAUUCAGUGAAUAUCAAUGAUUAUAAGUGUUUGUUGAUUUUAAAAUCUGAGUGUUAUGUGUAAAAUUUAAGAAAAUACAUAAUAGUGCCUUAAGUAUUAUAAAUUCUAAUAGCAUAUUUUGGGAAAUAAAGUUAAAACUAUUAAUUGCUGAGUUUACAGUAUAUAACCUCAGUGGAUGAUAAUGAGAGAUUAGAUUAUUGUGGAAUAUGAGAAUAUGUAUAAAAGUCAGAAAGAAAUAUUUUUAGCUGAUAUUCUUAAUAGUUAAGGGGUAGGUUUAUUAUUUUCCAUAAGUGGAUUAGUGGAGAUUUUUGCAAAAAUAUAAAAGUAAAGAUAUCACUACUACUGCAAUUAUUUUGCAUUUCUAUAAUGUCUUUUUAUUGAAACACUUAUAAAUCCUAUAAAACAAGUACUGGUACAUGUUCUCUAUAAAAUAAAUGAAUAUGGUUCGUAAGACUGUCAAAUUCCUUUAUAACCUCACGAUACCUUAUAGAGUGGCUGUUACUCUUUCAAUAGGAAUAGCUAUGGUUCAUAGGAUUUAUGGGUAAUCUAUACUGCUGUGGUAUCUUGGGAGUGAUAGCUCCUUUAGAUAUUUUAUCUUCUGUUAUAACCCUUACAAAUAACACAGUUUAUUUUCAUGAGGCUUGAAAUAGCCAUAGCUAAUUUCAAAAGAAUUUACUUCCUGUGGUUGUAAUACUUUAUUAUAGAAAGUACUGUACAAAGAAGUUACAGUUUGAGUGACAGUUAAUUCUCACAUAUGUAUAAAAUAUAUUCCAUGUUAAUUAACUUACUAUUUUUUUUCCCUUGGCAUAGUGUUAUGUACCAUGAGGGUAGACUUAUAACCAUUAAACAUUUUAACUUUCUUCCAUAGUAUUGUGUGUGUAUGUGAAUUUGUAUGCAAUUAAAAUAAAUCAAUACAGUGAUGCAGGGUACAUUCUGGUCGACAUGUGUCUUAUUUUAGAUGAAUUGAAAUGACAAGCGUGAUAAAACUAUUUACAUUUUAUCUCAAAAUAUUUUAUUCCAUUUCCUUUUCAUAGACAUAAUACAUUUACUAAAAUAAAAAUAUUGACAAAAUGUUAUUCAUAUUCUCAGAAAAUGUUAAAACAUACAUUGGCACUUUUGUGGAGCAUCAUUUCUGCAAAAUGAAGUAAAAGUUGAUGUUCACGUUUUUGUCAUUAAUGAAAUCAUUUAUCCAGAAAAGUUUGUAAAGAAAAAUAAUGGGUAUAUGCAAACCUGCAAAGCAAAGUUAUUCAAUAAUACAGGCCUUGGAUAUGCGGUUGUAAGGCAAGAAAUCAUACUUAUUAUUGCCCUACUCUGAAAACAUUUCAGGUUGAAAUUAUUUAUAGUAUUCUAAUUGCUACUGCUAGGUUACACUUAACUAUCUAUAGAAAAAUCCAAAUAUUUUACAUCACAUAAUUACUCGGCACAAAAAUACCAAAGUUCUUGUCCAAAAUACGUAUUUCCUUUUAUCGCUUGGGGGAAUACUAUAGGACAAUUUUUAAGUACAGUUUCCUAAACAUGACCAAAAACAUGUUUAAGUCCUUAUUUUUGCUCACAUUACGUGUUUUUUUGUUCUUUUUCCCCUAGAUUUAUUGUAUAGUUGAGAAAUUAAAAAUGCAUUUAUUUACUGUGUGCCAUGUGAUGGUGUGCACCAUUCCCAUAGGUUUCUUUUUGUUAUUGUGAGAACAUUUAAGAUCAAUCCUCCUAGCAAAUGUCAAGUAUACAAUAUAGUAUAACUUACUAUAGUCACCAUGAUGACUUUAAAGUUCUAGAACUUGUUCACUCGUUCAUUCUGUUAAACCGAAUAUUUGUAUCCUUUGACCAGCAUCCACCCCAUUCUCUCCACCCUCUAAUCCCUGGUAACCCCCAUUCUACUCUGUUUUCUACGAGUUAAAAUGUUUUAGGUUGCACAUAUAAGAGAGAUGGGCCGGGUGCAGUGGCUCAUACCUGUAAUUCCAGCGCUUUGGGAGGCCGAG
rnacentral:lncRNA from 1 species